AUCUUUUUUGUGAUUCAUAAUGUGAUGAUUGAGUUUCCGUGUCACUGUGAGGGAUAGGCGUCUCUCAAACUGUGCUAUAAUGUCAGAACAUUACUUGUCUGACA